rnacentral:rRNA from 1 species
CCUACGGGUGGCAGCAGUGGGGAAUAUUGCACAAUGGGGGAAAGCCUGAUGCAGCAAAGCCGCGUGAGGGAAGAAGGAUUUCGGAAUGGAAAGCUCUAUUAGCAGGGAAGAGAAUGACGGUACGUGAAUAAGAAGCACCGGCUAACUACGUGCCAGCAGCCGCGGUAAUAAGGAGGGGGCAAGCGGUAUCCGGAUUUAAUGGGUGGAAAGGGAGCGUAGAUGGUUGUACAAGUCUGGCGGGAAAGCCCGUGGCUCAACCCCGGAACUGCUUUGGAAAAUGUAAAGCUGGAGUGGUGGAGAGGUAGGCGGAAUUCCUAGUGUAGCGGUGAAAUGCGUAGAUAUUAGGAGGAACACCAGUGGCGAAGGCGGCCUGCUGGACAGAAACUGACGUUGAGGCUCGAAAGCGUGGGGAGCAAACAGGAUUAGAUACCCCUGUAGUC